AAGACAUUUUUUAAAACAGUUUAAAGAGUGAAUACAUUUGUGCAGUUGAGCUGCACUGUUACUGAGUCAAAGCCCCCGUGACAUUUUGUCCCGCCCUCCUCUGCACAUUCACACAUACAGAUGCAUUUUUCUCAGCUGAGUUUUUGCAGAGAUGAGAUGACUGUGUUUCGAUCUGGAUGAGUCUAGGAGGAUACAGAGAUGAUGUCCUUUCUUAAACUCCUGAUGAAGGAGGCCUCAAGUUCCUGGCAGAACAUGAACGACAGAAACACACUCAUGACAUGCAUCUCCUCUGGGACGUCUGGUGAAAAGGUGGCAGAGCAGCUCAUAAAUCCAUUUGGAGAGGAUGAUGAUGAAUUUGAGACCAACUUGAUUGAUAGAAACUUCCAGGGUGUCUAUGAUUUGCGGUGGAUGAGAUGUACGGAGAUUUGCCCAAGAUGGCGAGCUUCUCUUUGUGCUGCGCAAGCCCUCGUUCCAAGGCUCCACCUUCGACAUGGCGUCAGUGCUCACCUGACACAAAUACACAGAUCUUUUCAGACCAGACAGUUUUCUGUGUGCUUCAUCUCAACUGCAAACAAUCCAAUCUGUAAAAAAACAAGAAAGAUUCAAAUCAUAAUUUGUAAAACAGAAUACACACACACACGCGCACACACACAUAAACAAUCAUUUAAAGAAUAAAUAUGACACAGGCAAUGUUCUUAUGUAUAUGAAUAAAAGCUCAGAAGAUAAAUAGGUUUGACAGUGAUCCAAACUGUAAUGAUGGAAAUGAUCCUCAUGUGGGCAGUAUUGCAGCAUUCUAAGAUUUCUGGUGCUGUUAGAUCCAUAAGAGCAAUAUAUAUAAAAAAAGAAACAACAUUCAGCAAAUAAAGCUAUAGCUAUGCAGUUAUUCUUCAUAUUUUAUAGUUUACAACAGAAAGGAAGGUUGCUUCUUUUUGCUCUUCUCAUUUGUAAGUUGCUUUGGAAUAAAGCAUCGGCUAAUAUAAUUUAAUAAAACUAUUUCAGUUUUCAAGCUUUUAAUGAUUCCACAAGAGGAUUUACUGACACAGAAGUUUUAUGACCUCAUCAUCAAGUUAAUUAAUCAUUGUUAUUAAAGUUGAACAGUGUCAUGUU